UACGUAGGUGGCAAGCGUUGUCCGGAAUUAUUGGGCGUAAAGCGCGCGCAGGCGGUUUGCUAAGUCCAUCUUAAAAGUGCGGGGCUUAACCCCGUGAUGGGAUGGAAACUGGCGGACUGGAGUAUCGGAGAGGAAAGCGGAAUUCCUAGUGUAGCGGUGAAAUGCGUAGAUAUUAGGAGGAACACCGGUGGCGAAGGCGGCUUACUGGACGACAACUGACGCUGAGGCUCGAAAGCGUGGGGAGCAAACAGG
rnacentral:rRNA from 1 species